rnacentral:tRNA from 1 species
GGGAAUAGUUCAAUGGUAGAGUAGCGGUCUCCAAAACCGUCGAUGGGGGUUCGAAUCCCUCUUCCC